rnacentral:pre_miRNA from 1 species
UUGAAGAAUUUGAAGACCUCAACUUGCAGACUUGAAAAAUUUGAAGACUUCAACAUGUAUACUUGAAGAAUUUAAAGACCUCAACU